GUCGCGGAGAGCGUGGGGGUCGAGGGGGCGCACCGACAAGACCGUCUCAUCCAGGCUCGUCGACCACCCGUAUUCCACCACCUCCCACCUGUAUUCCAUGCCCGCCGCUUCUUCCCGGCUGACCUCAGUGCAGCUACCCGGCCUACCUCAGUCUGGAUCCCUUCAGGCUGGCACUUCGGAAGGAAGGGAGCGCUCGGCUGGAGAAAGAGAUGGGUCGGCGCCUUGAGCACUAAGAGAAAAGCCGCCUGAGUCCCGAGUGCGCGGACCAAUGAGGCGGCCUUCCUGCGUCAGCGCGGAUAUACGCUGCCCAAUUAGAGGAAGCGUAUCCUGGCGGCCAAGGGAGAAGCUACGGGUCCUACUUGGGGACAAACAUCUCGACAAUAAUAAUAGGCUUCUAUUUUUAUUUUUGUUUUAAUUUGAACGAAAGGCCACACUAGAUAUGUCCAGCUUUGAGCAGUAAGAACAAUUUCGUUACCUUUGAAGUUUCCGAAAACAUUCCACAUGUAUUUUUUUUAAUUGAUUCUUAAUCACAUCACGUCUAUUAAGACAGAAGACAGACUCGGACAUUAAUUUGCCCAAGAACACAUAGCCCUUUUGGAUUAAAAAAAGAAGAAGAAGGAAAAAAAAAAAAAAAACCAAGUCCAGGACAACUAAACGCAAAGUGAAAUCCUGGAUUGGACCCUGGAACAGAAAAAGGACGUGAAUGGGACAGCUGACGAAAUUUGAGCAAGGUGUAUCAAGUAAUAAUAUUAUUGUAUCAAUAGUUUUGAUAAUUGUACUACGGUUAUGUAAGAUGUUAACUUUAGGGGAUUCUGGGUGAAGAACAUAGGGGUACUCUAUACUAUUUUUGCAACUUUUUGGAAACCUAAAAUACUGUCAAAUUCUGAGCCCUUAUUGAGAUGUCCAGUAUACAACACGAAGUAGCUCAUGGAAAGCUUUGUGUAAAUUGAAUCAUUCGAAAUAUACUAAAACAAUACACUCUUUAAAACAGAGCACAGACUCCAGACGCGCAGGCUCAGCGGUCAUGGCUCACGGGCCCAGCCGCUCCGUGGCAUGUGGGAUCCUCCUGGACCGGGGCACGAACCCGUGUCCCCUGCAUCGGCAGGCGGACUCUCAACCACUGCGCCACCAGGGAAGCCCCCGCUCUAUGGUUUUUAUCUCCUGAUGGGGGAUAAAGAAGUCACUAGGUCCAGUCCACACUCAGGCGUGAAUGCAACCUGGCCCCCACCCCCUGCUUGGUCCCAGGUUCUUCCUGCUUGCUGCUUGGAUGAGCCAAGCUAGCAUAUUGAUUGUAAGUUGCCCUAGAGAGGGUCAAGUGGCAGAAAACUGAGGGCAACCUUCAGCCAAUGAAAACCUGAGGCUGCCAUUCCAACAGUUCAGGAGGAACUGAAUCCUGCCAAUAAUAAGGGGAGUGAGCUUGGAAGCACACCCUUCACCAGGAGAGCCACGAGAUGACUACAGAGCCAGCUAACGCCUAGGUUGUGAGAGACCCAGAGCAGAGGACUCCUCUAAGUCACAUGCAGAUUCCUGACCUACAGAAACUGUGAAACAAUGUUAUUGUGUUAAGCUGCUAAAUUGAGGGUACUUUGUUAUGUGAUUAUAGGUAACUAAUACAAGAGUUAUUCCAAUUUUCCUUUUCAUCCUGUAUCUGUUUUGGUAAAUUGUAUUUUGAAGGAAUUUGUCCAUUUUUAAGUUAAGACCAUAUAGUCGAAUUUAUCCAUUUCCUUCAGAGGUUGACCAAGUACACUAAUUUAUCUGCUCAAAAAAUACUUCAGAAACAAAAAACGUCCACACAAAGACAUGUACACAAAUGUUCAUAGCAGCUUUAUUUGUUAAUAGUCAAAAAAUCUAAACAACCCAAAUGUUCUUCAAUGGGUGAAUGUUUAAACAAAAUGUGGUAUGUCCAUACCAUGGUAUACUACUCAGCAAUAAAAAGGAAUGAACUACUAAUACAUGCAACAAUUUGGAUGGAUCUCAAGGGAAUUAUGCUGAGUGAAAAAAAGCCAAUCUCAAAAGGUUACAGUCUGCAUAAUUUCACUUAUAUAACAUUCACAUAAUGACAAAAUUACAGAGAUGGAGAAGAAAUCAGUGGUUGCCAGGGGCCAGGGAUAGGAAAAUGGGGGUAAGGGAGGGGAAUGACAUGAAUAUAAAGGGAUAGCACAAGGGAUCAUUGAGGUGAUGGAACAAUUGUUCUUUUUUUUUCAGUUCUGUUAUCUUAAGUUGUAGUGGUUCCACAAAUCUACAUGUGAUAAAAACUGAAUACAACUACACACACACACACAAAUGAAUGCAUGUGAAAGUGAGUGAAAUCUGAGUAAGUUCUGUAGAUUGUUACUAAUGUCAAUUUCCUGGUUUUGAUAUUAUAGUAUAGUUAUGUAAGAUACUACCAUUGGCGGAACUGUAUGAGGGUACAUGGGUCCUCUUUGUAUUAUUUUUGCAAAUUCUUGUGAAUCUAUAAUUAUUUCAGAAUAUAAAGUAAA